GGGGUCCAGGGCGAGUUAAGGAAGCAGCUGUCACGGAGCUGGGUCUGAGAGUGAUCACAAGAUGACAUAGCUAAAAAAGCUUCACUUUAAGGAACAAUCUGACAGAGAGAGCCUCAGAUCGGCUGCAGCUGUUCCUGACCUGAUGACUUCUGGCUUCAUGGAAGGAGUUGUUUAUUGCUCACGAGUCAUGGACACACCCUAGGCAGCUGGGAGAUGCUUUAAGGAUCGGGCACGGUGUAGAUGGCCACCCCACAAAUCAGCUGGUAAUGCUGACCUUGGGUCACACACCAGAU
rnacentral:lncRNA from 1 species